GCGGGCGGCGGCGGUGAGGCACGGAGGGGCCCGCGGCGGCCAUGGGGGCCCUGACGAGCCGGCAGCACGCGGGCGUGGAGGAGGUGGACAUCCCGUCCAAUUCCGUGUACCGCUACCCGCCCAAGUCCGGCAGUUAUUUUGCCAGCCACUUCAUCAUGGGAGGAGAGAAGUUUGACUCCACACACCCUGAGGGUUACCUGUUUGGGGAGAACAGCGAUCUGAACUUCCUGGGGAACAGACCAGUUGCGUUUCCUUAUGCCGCCCCGCCUCCCCAAGAACCUGUGAAGACACUGAGAAGCCUGAUCAACAUCCGCAAGGACACGCUGAGACUUGUCAAAUGUGCUGAGGAAGUGAAGAGCCCGGGAGAAGAGGCCGGCAAAGCUAAAGUUCAUUACAACAUCGAGUUCACCUUUGACACGGAUGCCCGGGUAGCCAUCACCAUCUAUUAUCAGGCCACUGAGGAGUUCCAGAACGGUAUUGCCAGCUAUAUUCCAAAAGACGACAGUCUGCAGUCGGAGACUGUGCACUACAAGCGAGGGGUGUGCCAGCAGUUUUGCCUUCCCUCUCACACUGUGGACCCCUCGGAGUGGGCUGAAGAAGAGCUUGGCUUUGACCUGGACCGAGAGGUUUACCCUUUGGUGGUACACGCUGUGGUGGAUGAAGGAGAUGAAUAUUUUGGCCACUGCCAUGUGCUGCUGGGUACUUUUGAAAAGCACACAGAUGGGACUUUCUGUGUCAAGCCCCUCAAACAGAAACAAGUAGUAGAUGGGGUUAGCUACCUACUUCAGGAGAUCUACGGAAUUGAAAACAAGUACAACACACAAGAUUCGAAGGUGGCCGAGGAUGAAGUAAGUGAUAACAGUGCGGAGUGUGUGGUGUGUCUCUCCGAUGUCCGGGACACCUUGAUCCUGCCCUGCCGCCACCUCUGCCUCUGUAACACUUGUGCAGACACCCUGCGCUACCAGGCCAACAACUGCCCCAUCUGCCGGCUGCCCUUCCGGGCACUGCUUCAGAUCCGCGCCAUGAGGAAAAAAUUGGGCCCCUUGUCCCCAACCAGCUUUAACCCCAUCAUUUCGUCCCAGACAUCUGACUCAGAAGAGCAUUCAUCCUCAGAGAAUAUUCCACCAGGUUACGAAGUGGUGUCUCUUCUGGAGGCCCUCAACGGACCCCUUACCUCGUCACCAGCAGUCCCUCCACUUCAUGUGCUUGGAGAUGGCCACCUCUCAGGAAUGCUGCCUUCUUAUGGCAGCGAUGGCCACCUGCCCCCCGUCAGGACACUCUCCCCUCUCGACCGCCUGUCUGACUGCAGCAGCCAAGGACUCAAGCUCAAAAAGAGUCUCUCCAAAUCCAUUUCACAGAAUUCUUCCGUGCUGCAUGAAGAGGAAGAAGAACGCUCCUGCAGUGAGUCAGAGACCCAGCUCUCUCAGAGACCGGCUGCUGCUCAGCAUCCCGGAGAGGAAUGUGGCGUAACUCCAGAAAGUGAGAAUCUCACCCUGUCCUCAUCGGGGGCUGUUGAUCAGUCUUCCUGCACAGGGACCCCGCUGUCAUCCACCAUUUCCUCCCCGGAAGACCCCGCCAGCAGCAGCCUGGCCCAGUCUGUCAUGUCCAUGGCAUCCUCCCAGAUCAGCACCGACACAGUCUCCUCCAUGUCUGGCUCCUACAUCGCCCCUGGCACUGAAGAGGAGGGAGAAGGCCUCCCUUCCCCCCGGGCAGCAAGUAGAGCCCCCUCCGAAGAAGUGGAGGGGAUGCCAGCUGAGUCUCCAGAUAGCAGCUUUGCUGGCCUCCCCGCCGGAGAGCAGGAUGCAGAGGGGAAUGACAUCAUAGAGGAAGAAGAUGGCUCUCCCAUGCAAGAAGAUGGUAAAAGACCUGGUCCUUUGCUCCGUUGUAUUUGUGUCUCUCCUGGGUAUUCUCUAAGGGUAAAGAAAGGAGAACUGCUGCCAGAGGACAUGCGCAUUUCUAGGUAUGGAGUGUGACAAUAACAAUGACUUUGACAUCGCAAGCGUGAAAGCACUGGACAAUAAGCUGUGCUCUGAGGUCUGCUUACCCGGUACCUGGCAGGCUGAUGACAACAGUGUCAGUCGGCUAAAUACUCAGCGCCGGCGCUUAUCAUCCAGCAGCCUGGAGGACCCUGAGGACAGGUCCUGUGUGUGGGGUCCUCUGGCUGUCUGAGAGCACCUGCCCUUCUCCCCAGGUGCCCCUUCUGUCCUUGCAUUCCAUCUGUCCUCACCGGAUCACUGGCCUCCCGACACCCGCAGCAAGACACAUGUGGACUUUGCAUACACACGUGAAAGUUGGAUGUGGAGUUCAACCCACUCUGUCUCCCAGCCUCAUCUCCUGUAACCUUGAUCCCUCCCCCUCAAAAGGGACCAGAGCCCUCCUUCCUCGUGGGUUGAUGCCACCCCAUGAACUGCAGCUUGUGAGACCCUCCACAGAGACUCUGGACUGCGUCUGCUGCCCUCAUGGACAGGUGGAGCUAAGGGCCAGGGGCUGUUUCUUCCACAUUUUUUUCUCCUUAGGGGGCAGACCAAGCAGACUGAAGAGUUUUGGCAGCUUUGUUACAAACACCCAUCUGACAAUUUCUGGUCUCUGGCUCCUCAUAACCAAUUUGAAACCUCCAUUCUGGGGUGGUCAGGGGAUGGCUCAUGUGAAAAGGCGGGACAGUCUUGUGAUAAGUGUGGAGUUUCCCUCUCAAAGCGUUAAGAGCUCUGCUCUCAAGGAUGAGGGAGAUGGUGACAACCAAAAGGCCUUCUGGAGCAGACCUGAUCUCUUGUCUUAUGUCUGCUUUAGAAAGAGCCCUGAAUCCAAGACCCCAGUUAGGAUGACUCCCUUCUGGAGUCCUUUUCCUGAUCAGGUACCUUUAUGAAGGCCUGGGACUCCAUCCAGAGGCAAAAUUUUAAGGGCAUUUCUGGGCCAUCUCUAUGUACACAGUGCUAGGGCUAUUGUAUAUUUCUUCUUCAUUACAGCCCUGUGGGGGGAGUCUGAUUCCUAUGCUGCCAUCUCCAUCCCUUCUUUAAAUGUUGAAGAAAUAGGCUAAGAGAAGUGUGAACCAGCAGUUCUUAAACCAGUGCCCAGAACCACCGAGGGAAGUGUGGGGAACCCUGAGCUCAGUCAGUCCAGGCAGUAGCCCAGGGCUGUAAGUAGUGGCCUAGAAGCCACAGGACCUGCACCUUGAGAAACUCUUCCUUUGUUUUCCUUUCCUGCCUUCAAGAUAUGCUGAGAGUGAGAGGUGAAGAGGAAGGUGGAGCCUUCCAAUCUGCAUACAAAUGAAGCCUACAGCAGCAAGGCUGGCUGGGAAGUUGCUGGGUAUCUCACCUCUCUCCUCAGUGGGAUCCAUGUGGCUCUUGCAUAGAUGUUUUUUCCAGUGGCUUUUCGAAAAGGUGGUUUAGUGGGACAUGAGAUUAUUUGGGAAGCAGUUAGAAAUAAUUACUUGUGAGGGUGACGUAUGGGGGAGCCUUAGGCUGUGCCCACUAUAUUAGGAUUUGCAGUUGUUACCCCAGAAGAGCUUGCCCAAAAAGAGCUCAGUGUACCAGGCAUGGUAGCUCAUGCCUGUAGUCCCAGCUGUUUGGGAGGCCGAGGCUGGAAGACUGCAUGUUCAAGGCCAGCCUGGGCAAUUUAGACCUUGUCUGGGGAUGUAGCUCAGUGGUAGAGUGCUCCUGGGCUUGAUCCCCAGUACCACCAAAAAAAGUGUACAAGAGGUCCUUGGUACCUUUUGUGAAGCUGCAGAGGCCAGGAGUGUAGUGAUAGUCACACUGGCCAGUGGUUAUGGCUCAUGUCCUGUUCUGCUGGAGGAGAGCCUGCUGUCCUUGAAACAACAGGCCAAGCUAGAGCUCCCAUGUUUAUCCUCUCUGAACACUGCAGUGGACUGUGCCAUUCUGUACCCCACCUAAUGCCCUUUCCUUCCCUUGGCAUUCUGACAGCUCUUUUCAUAUUUAAGACUUAAGCCAGUCUAAGUUGAGCAAUAACCCCACUUCCUGAUUUCCUUGAAGUGUGAACCCCAGAAGCAACAGGGAGCUUCCCUUAGCCUAGGGUGGUGGCACACAAACCCUCCUCCUCUCCCGGCAGGCAGUAUUCACAGUGUGGUGUAACCGGGGAGGAUGGAGGAAGUAGCUGAGAUGAAGGAGAUGUAGGUAAACAGUAGCUUCAAGGCCAGUAGAUGCAGAGGAAGCAACCCUUCCUAGAGGAUCUCUGUCCUCUUGCAGCCAGGCCUCAGGUCCCUAACCAACACACACUUGGGUUGGAGUGCACUUUACUUUGAGCUGCUCAGUGCCGCCCCCACCCCCCCACACCUCAUUUAGCUAUUGGCAGGCAGAAGUAAUCCAUCCAAAGGGAUGGGCCUCUGUCACCAUGAUCAGGAACAGGUCAGCUGCCACCCUCCUGCCCCAGUACAUCAUUGGGGGAGUCAGACUGUCAGCAUUUGCCCUGGGGUGGGGUGGGGGCUUCUGGAGGGCACAAAACUGACUGGAGGUACCUGUGGCUCUUCAGCCAUACUACGUCUGCACUCUUCCAUGGCCUGGACUGCAGUUGCAAUCCUGGUUUCCUCACAAAGCCUUUUGGCCUUCUACCCAUUUCCAUCCACCAGAGUUUAUUUACCACUGGGGCCUCUGGGCACAGACUCAAGCCCUUUAACCCAUCUCACUGGGGAGAUAGAUCCCAUCCACCUAGUGUUGGCAUGCUGGUUGCUCACUCUGACCUAGGGCCUGCACACCUGGUGUGUGCAAACAUGCGUGUGUGUACUGUUGGUGCCAUCCAUGUACUCCCUCACUCUGGAGUACUUUGUGAGCACACUUCAGUGAGGACACCAAGGAUUCAAUAUUUAUGGAUUGCUGCAUGAUUCUUUAAAAUGAAUAAAACUGUUUACAAGGGAAGGAGAACUAUUAACCACAAA